rnacentral:rRNA from 1 species
AAUCACCGAAAUCAAGCAUCGUUGGGCGCGGUCAGUACUUGGGUGGGUGACCACCUGGGAACACCGUGUGCUGUU